AGGACGAACGCUGGCGGCGUGCCUAACACAUGCAAGUCGAACGGGACCAGGGGCAACUCUGGUUCAGUGGCGGACGGGUGCGUAACACGUGAGGAACAUGACCUUCGGGCGGGGGAUAGCCGGCCCAACGGCCGGGUAAUACCGCGUACGACCUUUCGGGGACAUCCCUGGAAGGUGAAAGCAGCAAUGCGCCGAUGGAGUGCCUCGCGGCCUAUCAGCUAGUUGGUGAGGUACGCUCACCAAGGCGACGACGGGUA
rnacentral:rRNA from 1 species